CGUGGGGGCAUCACGUUUGCAUGGAUAACACAUUUUAUGAACUAAAUGCGUCUACUGUAGAAUAGUGGUCACGUGACCUCCAUACAGGGCCUGCUGUCUGUUUUCAGUGGAGGGAGAUAUCCGAAGAAAAAUGGCGACUGCAGGCGACCUAAAGCGGGACGCCGGCCAUUCUAUUUGAACAUUCUACUAAAAAUUGAGCCCGGGGCUUGGUGGGGCUAAUUGUGACUAUCGCAACGUUGGUUAGGGUUUCCGAGGUUGCCCGGUUUCUCGGGUUUGUGUGGACUAGUCGCGCGCUAAAAUUGAAAUUAAAAAUAAUACAUCUGCUACAAUGCGAGGGAGAAGAGGAAGGCCGCCCAAACAGGCAGCGGAGAUGCAGGAGGUUUCCCCUGGGCCAGUUCGCGGUUCAAGAGGGAGAGGGAGAGGUAACCGUGGUAGGGGAAGGGGCCGAGGACGUGGCCGCGGACGGGGUUCGGUGGUGGAUACCGGCGAUACAGAAAUUCAUCGGAGAGAAAACUACCAUUCGUCCAGGGGCCGGAGGAAAGUUGGAGCAGCGACGACAUCGCGGGGCAGAGGAAGAGGCAGGGGUUCGAGAGGUGGUCGCGGCAGCAGGGGGAGACGGCCACUGUGCAAGGUGGUCUACGAUGACAACAGCGACGAGGAAGAGGAUAAUAUUAGUUUGAGGUCGGAGGAAGACGAACUUUUACACGAGAAUCCUUCCUCAGACUACGAAGAGGAGGCCGUGGACAAUGAGUCCGAUUUUCUGGAAGAAUUACCAGAUGAGGAUGAUGCUAGCUACUGUACAGAUAGCAGCUUUCGGAGCCAUGAUAGCACGCACGGCAGCACUCCAGGCCGGAGGGGCAGACACCCGCACCGGCCCCGCUCGCCCAUCUUUGAGGCCAAGGAGGUGCCCUCCCUGGAGCUGCCCAAGUCCUCAGAUGACUUGCUGGUGCCGGCCAAUCAGCUCCUCAACAUCUCGGCCGUCUAUGAGGUGCUGCGCAACUUCGGCUCGGUCCUGCGCCUCUCGCCGUUCCGCUUCGAGGACUUUUGUGCAGCGCUGGCAGGCCAGGAGCAGUGCACCCUGCUGGCUGAGACCCACACCGCCCUGCUCAAGGCCAUCCUGCGCGAGGAGGACACGUCCAACACCACGUUCGGUCCUGCCGACCUCAAGGACAGCGUCAACUCCACACUCUACUUCAUCGACGGCAUGACCUGGCCCGAGAUGGUGCGCGCCUACUGCGAGAGUGACCCAGAGUACCGGCAGGUGCUCCCUUUACUGGAGGGCGAGGAGUACCCCUACGAGCCCCUCGAGAGCAAAAUUAAGGUCCUUCAAUUCCUUGUGGACCAGUUCCUGGCCACCAACUUGGCUAGAGAAGAGUUAAUGUCGGAGGGGGUGGUGGCGUACGACGACCACUGCAGGGUGUGCCACCGGCUGGGGGACCUCCUCUGCUGCGAGACGUGCUCUGCCGUCUACCACCUGGAGUGCGUGAAGCCACCGCUGGUGGAGGUACCCGAGGACGAGUGGCAGUGCGAGGUGUGCGUGGCACACAAAGUGCCUGGCGUGGUGGACUGUGUGACAGAGGCGCAGAAGAGCAGGCCAUACAUCCGCCAGCUGCCAAUCGGCUAUGACCGCCACCGCCGCAAGUACUGGUUCCUGGACCGCCGCGUCGUGGUUGAGGAGGAUGGUGAGCAGGAGGACAAGACCAUCUGGUACUACAGCACCAAGGUGCAGCUGGCUGAGCUGAUUGACUGCCUGGACAAGGGCUACUGGGAGGCCGACCUGUACGCCACGCUGGAAGAGAUCAGGGACGAGGUGCACACGCACAUGGACAUCACCGAGGAGCUCACCAACAAGGCCCGUGGCGUCAACAAGUGCUUCCUCACCGCUGCCAACGAGGAGAUCCUGGACCGGCUGAGGGCCAAGCAGGAGGAGGAGCUGGAGGAGGUGAAGCGCCGGGCGGCCGAGGAGAGGGAGAAGGCGGAGGCGCAGAAAACUCUCCGGAAGGAGGAGGAGACGGAGGGGGGAGAGCCCAAGGAGAAAACUGAUGAACUCCAGAAGAAGGGAGAUGAGGUGGGAGCAGGGGAGGGUAAGGCUGAGAAGGACAAUGACCAGGCGACCAAGGAGGGGACCACAAUUACAGCUGAGCUGGCUCCCUCUACUGGUGAGGGCUCCAUCCCUGAGGGAAGUAAUCCUGAUCUUCUGGCUCCACAACCCACCCUCCCCGCAACAGAGGACCCCAGCCCUGCCGUGGGGGGGCAAGACCUCCCUACCGGUGCCCGAGAGCCUGGGGACGAGGCCCUAACCAACAUGAAGGGAAUGCAGGAGGCUGAAGAGAAGGCAGGUUCUUUGUCUAGCUCUCCCAGGGGAGAGGGGGUCCCCAGCCUGAGCCAGCCCUCUCAGCCCGGUGGUGAGGAGAACAGCAACAGCAGCACCAUUGCCAGGGAGGCCCCCAGGGUCCCGGAGGAGCCCGACCUAGCCGACAGGUCCUCUCAGUCUUCUAUCAACAGCCAGGACGACCAGGGGGUGAACGGCGAGACUGGUGGCAAGCGGACGGUAGUCACUCCGGGCGGCCGCAUGGUGACCCGCCUGCGUAACCCGGAGAGUAAGCUGAGCCAGCUGAAGAGCAAGAAGGUGGAGGAAGCCGUUCACGAGGCCAACAAGGGCUACAAGGAGGGCAAAGAGGUGCUGGUGGUGACCCCGGCGGGCGAUGUGUCGCGCCUCAGCACGCGCAGCCUAACAAGCAAGGAGGUGGUGAUGAAGGGCACACUCAGCCACUUCUUCAAGCUGGGCCAGGAGGGCAAGUUCCGCGUCUACCACAACCAAUACAGCGGAAAUACGCUGGCCCUCAACAAGCCCCAGCACCGGGAGGACCUGGACAAGCGGCGACACCUCUCGCACAAGUUUUGCAUGACGCCGGCAGGCGACUUCAAGUGGAACGGCUCCAUCCACGGCUCUAAAGUGCUGACCAUCUCCACUCUGCGCCUCACCAUCAUCCAGCUAGAGACCAAUGUGCCCGCACCCUUCAUGCACCCCAACUGGGCCUCACACAGGAACAACUGGAUUAAGGCGGUGCAGAUGUGCAGUAAGGCCAGGGAGUUUGCCCUGGCCAUGGCCAUCUUGGAGUGUGCCAUCAAACCUGUGGCCCUGCUCCCUGUCUGGAAGGACUCUCUGGGACACACCAGGCUACACCGUAUGACAUCAAUGGAGCGGGAGGAGAAGGAGAAGGUGAAGAAGAGGGAGAAGAAGCUGGAGGACGAGGAGACCAUGCAGCAGGCCACCUGGGUCAAGUACACAUUUCCCAUCAAGCACCAGGUGUGGAAGCAGAAGGGAGAGGAGUAUCGUGUGACGGGCUGGGGCGGCUGGAGCUGGAUCAGCAAGACGCACGUGCACUGCUUCCUGACCAAGCUGCCCGGCAACACAAACGCCAACUACCGCGCCGAGCUGGAAGCUGCCAGAUGUGGUGAGAAAUGCAACUUGCUGGACUUGGGUCCGAGGCCAAGGUUGUUCAAAACAACUGUAGCUUCAGAACCCCAGGGAAGCAGAAGACCCGUAGAGAAAGAUGGGGGUGCUGCCACCACCACGACCACCCCAGAGCCCUCAGCAGACCGCCUGUCGGGAGAGAAGAUGAAGGAAAAGCUAGAGGAGGGAAAGAAAGAAGAGAGUGACGGGCGAGCGAAAGUGAAGAUGCAAGACUCCACUGCAGAGGAGGCUGCAGAGAAGAUGGAGCCUAGCCUCUCAGACUCAGGACAAGACGAUGAAAAAGGAACCAGCAGCAGCCCAGGGACCGAGACGGAGAUGACGUGCGUGAAGCAGGAGCCCGGUGAGGGGAACGCAAGGCCCUUUAACUACGACGUGGUGGACGUGGCCCAGGGCUUCCUGACGCGUGUGGCCUACAAGAAGAAGGUCAAGGCCUCCAAGCUGGACGGUCUGCUGGAGCGGCGCGUCAAGCAGCACGCCCUGGAGGAGAAGCAGAGGGCUCAGUGCGCCCUGGCCAAGCCUACCCCAGUAAAGACCACCCUGGUCCUGCCACAGACCCCACUCCAGACCCAGAGUCCCACAGUGAAAUUGGAGUUCAGCACCCCUUCGGUGCCACCUGCACUUGCUCCAUUGUCAGUCAAAGGGGAGGUGCAGGCGGACCCUUCAAAGACCGCUGAGGGGGUCCCUCAGCCAGCCCCAGCGACCCCAGCUGAAGAAUCCCCACGAACACAAAAACAAAUGACCCCCCAGAAACAGGAGGGAGACCUCCCUGAGCGGACUAUAGGACCCACAGGGGCUGGUUCAGGGCAGGAGGGCCUUAAAAGGCCCAGCAGCACAGCGGAACCUGUGGAAACUUCAGGUGGGAUCUACUACACUGGCAGACCAUCAGAGUCUACCAGUGCCAAGCCCGUUUCCACCGAGGGUGCAAGACCUGAAGUGGCCAUUUUUAAAUCCCACUCCACAACGAUACCUCCGUGCACUAUAACCCAGGAGAGCAGCCAUAGUGCAGCUACCGUUCCUAAACCCCCCCAACAAAGCACAGAGAAGAACGGGAAGGGGCCUGAGGAGAGGCAGGACAACGGACAGAGCAGCAUCGAGGCCAUCGCCACUGGGUCCCAGCCCUCCUCUCUACCUCAGAUCAAUGGAAAUGACAGUGUGGAGGCUAAAGUCUUGACCAACUCUUUACCAACUCCAAACAAGGCCUCCAAUGCUCUCACUAACAGCUCUGAGGUCAAAGUGAACAGCCUAGGCAAGGCGGAGGGAGAGGGUCAAGUAGUCUCGCCCCUAAAGCCCCUGUUCAACGGCAAUGUGGCCCCUGUAGCCGAGAGGACCGGGCCGGACAGCACGGAACCAAGGCCAGCUCCAAGGGUAGAGUUGGAGAGCAAGGUCAUAGUGUCGGAGCAGGACUACCAGCCCCCGGUGAAGGUGGCCAGGUUGGAAAACAACGUGGAAGCGCUCGGGUCUAUGACCACCCAAAGCACCCAGCAGCUCAUCAACACCCAGCCCAUGGAAGUUAAGCCCGAUGCCACCACGCCCAACAAAAUGCCCCCCUUGUCGGUGUGCUCUGCAGAGGAGAGCAGCAACAGUGGGGUGGGAUCCCUCUGUAACACCAUACUCACCCAGGUAACCACCACAACAACCACCACCACCACGCUAUCCUCAGAGUCUCGGCUAACGGCGGGCGUCUCAAGCUCUUCGGGGACGACGGCCGCGCCCAUUGUCUCAACCACCGAGAGCAGCGCGGUGUCCACGCUCACCACCAUGACCAAAACCACCGUGACCAAAAUGCGCUCACCCACGCCCGACAGCCAAUCGGAUGAGAGCCAGAGCGAAACGGUGACCGAGUACAAGACCGCACUCCUCGCCACCCGCAAGGAGUCCUCUCGUUCAACCUCCUCUGUUUCGGGGGGCAUUACCUCGUCGACCUCCACCAAGGGCCGCGUUCGCCUCCUCAAGUUCUCGCGCACCAAGAAGACGCGCUCAGGAACCGCCUUGCCAUCCUAUCGCAAGUUUGUUACUAAGAGCCAGCGUAAGAGCAUCUUUGUCCUGCCCAACAAUGACCUGAAGAAGCUGGCACGGCGGGGUGGCAUCCGUGAGGUGUCCAUCUUCAGCUACAACGCCAAGCCGGCCCAGGACAUCUGGCCCUACCCCUCGCCCAGGCCCACCUAUGGCAUCACAUGGAGGUACCGUCUCCAGACAGUGAAGUCCCUGGCAGGGGUCAGUCUGAUGCUGAGGCUACUGUGGGCCUGUCUGAGGUGGGACGACAUGGCUGUCAAGCCCUCCGCCGCUGUAGGCACCACACGCACAGCCCUAUCCCCACUCAUUGCCACAGAGACCUCCGAGACGGAGAUCACUACCACAGAGAUUAUCAAGCGCCGCGACGUGGGGCCCUACGGCAUCCGCUCGGAAUACUGCAUCCGCAAGAUCAUCUGCCCCCUCGGGGCUCCCGAGACCCCGAAAGAGACCCACACGCCACAGAGGAAAGGCCUGCGCUCCAGCAACCUGCGGCCCAAGAAGCCAGAGCCCAAAAAGGAAACUGGGCCGGUGGUGAUUGAGUCCUGGGUUGCCGAGGAGGAAUUGGACCUCUGGGAGAUCAGGGCCUUCUCCGAGAGGGUUGAGAAAGAGAAAGCCCAGGCAGUGGAACAGGCCAAGAAGCGUCUGGACCAGAAAACUGGUGCUGGCUCUACCAUCGUCACCACCCCGGGGAGCACAGCCACCCCCGCUUCCACCCCCAAGGUAGUGACCCUAUCGGGCCAGGCCACCCCCGGAACCAAAGUGGUACUGGCCACCAAGAUGGGCACCCCUGUCACCUUCCAACAGAACAAGAACUUCCAGCAGUCGUUUGCUUCCUGGGUCAAGCAGGGGCAGCCCAGUGGAGCCUCGCCGGGCACGGUAGCCACGUCAGCCGGACAGACUUUCCAGAUCACGGGCACGUCCAUGGGGGGCAAGGUGCUCACCGCCAAGCUGCCGCUGCCCGCCAACAGCAAGAUUGUCACUGUCAACGUGCCAACCACUCAAGGAGGUAUGAUUCAGAAGCAGGUGCUGGGCAUCAUUCCCACAAGCCAAGCUGGCGGCGCCCAGACCUUCGCCUCGUUCCAGCCUCGCACCACAACCAUCAACAUCAGGCCAGGCAUGCCUGGCUCACCACAGCAGGUGCUCACCGCUGGAGGCCAGAUCCGUCCGGGGAUGACCGUGAUCCGCACGCCCAUCCAUCAGACAGGCACCAUGGGUAAGACCCUCCUCCAGACACCCCUCAUGGUGCAGCAAGGUCAGGCUGGCCAGCAGGUGGUGACCCAGAUCAUCCGUGGGCAGGCCGUGUCCACGGCCAUCUCAGGUGCCAGCCCCGUCACCACCGUGGCCGGGCAGAGGGUGGGCAGUGCCCCCAAAACCCCGGGCCAGCCCAACACGGCCCAGACACCCCAGCAGCGGGCACAGCAGGGCCAGGUCAAACUCACCCUGGCACAACUCACCCAGCUCACCCAGAAGCAGCAGAGCCAGGCAGUAGAGCGGCCAGGCGGCGGGGCCCAGGGCCUGACUGUGAUGAUCCAGGGCCAGGGCCAGGCCACGGGCCAGCUGCAGGUCAUCCCCCAGGGGGUCACGGUCAUCCCCGGGCCCGGUCAGCAGCUCAUGCAGGCGGCCAUGCCCAACGGCCAGGUCCAACGCUUCCUCUUCACCCCCAUGGCCCCUGCCGCUACCCCAACCUCCACAGCCCCUACCGCCCCGGGUCAGACCACCAAGGCCCCUGCCCAGCCCGCCCAGCAGGCUGCAGCUCCCAUCCAGGCCGGGGCCGCCCUGGCCACCAGCACCCCCCCAUCCGCCACCCCCCAGAGCCAACUCCCCUCCCAGACCCAGGCCCACAUGCCCAUCCAAUCCCCAACCCCCCUCCAGGUCAAGUCCCUCAAACACCCUCCCGGCACCCCCAUGGGCCGGCCCCAGCAGACCCUCCAGCUCCAGGGCUCCCCCCACCAGCUCAUCACCGUCCCGGGCCUCCAGCAACAGGUCCAGGUCCUGGCUCAGCUCCAGGCCCAACAGGGGACCUCCGGAGGCUCUCUCCCCCAGCAGAUCAAGCUCCAGCUUCCCAUCCAAAUACAGCAACCCGGGGUCAGUGGAGCCCAGCCUGGAGGUCCGAUCCAGAACGUGGUGACCAUCCAGACGGCCAGCGUGCAGGAGCAGCUCCAGAGGAUCCAGCAGCUGAGGGAGCAGCAGCAGCAGAAGAAGAGGCUGGCGGCCGAGGCCAAGCGGGAGCAGGCGCUGGCGGCAGCCAGUCAGAGCCACAUCAUCCAGAAACAGGUGGUGAUGAAGCAGAACGCAGUGAUCGAGCACCUCAAGCAGAAGAAGCCCAUGUCCCCCGCCGAGAGAGAGGAGAAUCAGAGGAUGAUUGUGUGCAACCAGGUGAUGAAGUUCAUCCUGGACAAGAUCGACAAGGACGAGAAGCAGGCGGUCAAGAAGAGGAAGAAGGAGGAAGCAGGCGAGCAGAAGAGGACCAAGGCCAACGCCACCAAGCUGUCGUCGCUGCUCUGCCGGCACAAGGAGACACUCAAGGCCGAGAUCCUCAAGAAGAGAGCCCUGCUGGACAAGGAGCUGCAGCUGGAGACGCAGGAUGAGCUGAGGAGGGACCUCGCCAAGCUGCGGCGGGACAAGGAAAGGGCCCAGGCCGCCGCCCACCAGGCGGCCGCCGCCGCGCACACGCAUCAUGCCCUCACACACACCUCCCAACUCAACCCGGCGGCCUUCGUCCACAAGCGGAAGCGGGAGGAGGAGAGGGACGCAGCGUCGACGGCUAACGCCAAGAAGAAGAAGAUGAUCAUCACCACUACCUCAGACAGCAAGAAGGAGACCAAGCUCUACUGUGUCUGUAGAACGCCCUACGACGAGUCCAAGUUCUACAUUGGCUGUGACCUGUGCACCAACUGGUACCACGGCGAGUGUGUGGGCGUCACCGAGAAGGACGCCAAGAAGAUGGACGACUACAUCUGCAGCGAGUGCAAGCAGGCCCAGGAGGGAAAGACCGAGGAGCUCUACUGCAUCUGCCGAACGCCCUACGACGAAGCACAGUUCUACAUCGGCUGCGACCGCUGCCAGAACUGGUACCACGGCCGUUGCGUGGGCAUCCUGCAGAGCGAGGCCAACCACAUCGACCAGUACGUGUGUCCGCAGUGCCAGUCCACAGAGGACGCCAUGACAGUGCUCACGCCGCUCACCGACAAGGAUAACGAGGGGUUAAGGAGAAUCCUGCGCUCCUUACAGGCUCACAAAAUGGCGUGGCCGUUCCUGGAGCCAGUGGACCCGAACGACGCCCCAGACUACUACGGAGUCAUUAAGGAACCAAUGGAUCUUUCUACGAUGGAGGAGCGGUUGCAGAAGCGCUACUACAUCAAGCUGACAGAGUUCGUGGCGGACAUGACCAAAGUCUUCGACAACUGCCGUUACUACAACCCCAGCGACUCGCCGUUCUACCAGAGCGCCGAGGUCCUUGAGAACUUCUUCGUCCAGAAGCUCAAAGGGUUCAAAGCCAGCAGAUUGUGAUGUCAUAAGUCUGGCCUUGUAGUUGGAAUCUGAGCUGGGUGCCGGGGUCACUCUAAAAAAAAAAUUAAAAAAACAUUAGGCUAUCCUGGACCUUGCUGUUUUUAUGUCUUUCAAAACAGCAUCAAAAGUAUAUUUACAGUAUAAACCACACCGUAGGUGUGUUUUUUUGUAUUUUUUAGAAGGAAAGACACUUUAAAAACAUUUCUCCAUUUUGAUAAUGGCAGCCAUGUUGGUCACAAACAGCAAUCAAGGGAAACAUCUGUUAGGUUUUUUUACAUUCAUUUCAAAGGCGACAGAUGUUCGAUGGAAGUUGAGUUCAUUUCUGUUUAUCUCAAUCUGGUGACGUGUGAGGCACAAUAUCAAGUAUCGAAAAGGUCUCAUAACAACAAACUGCAGUCUACAGCAUCUUAGAAUUCACAGUCGGCACUCCUUCUAAAGCUUACUGUCAAAAUGGCUGCCAAUGUGGUUCCCCCUGAACACUCGUACUCCAAUGGGGAAGCCAGGCUACUUCUUACGUGUCCACACACAUACCACCACACCUGUCGGACUUGGGAGUGGGAGUUACACCCCCGUUUAAAACCAGCACACACUCCUCGAAGAUCGUAGCCGACGCAUGCUUCAGGCCGAACGGCCUUGUUACCAAACCGUAUGAGCCCUCGCCAUUCCUCAACCACCUCUAAAGCCGUGGAAAGAGAAGAGACUGGCAGUGGAAGGUUCCAUUAUCCAAACCCUUAGUAUUCAUGAUGGGAGAUACCACAUCCCCAACAGACGGGGGGAGGGAGGCUCAGACUUUCAGUUCACAGCCUGUUUCCUUCCUUCAAAGCACUUCCGAUGUGGUGGAUGAAAUGGAGGGAUGACGGGAGAAAACCCCCCUGAAGUCAAUAAGCUAAUGGGCCGUUCAAGGGCAGUACGAAACAAGGCAGCAGUAGACUCUUUUCAAGUUGUUUAUUCCGUAACUAAUCUCACAUCUCUUUUGUAUCAGCUAUUCUUCCUUCCCUGGGGGUCAACUCCCAUUUCAGACUGUGUAUGUCCCAAAUGUCACCAUAUUCCCUAUAUAGUGCACUACUUUUGAUCAGAGCCAUAUGGGCCCUGGUUCAAAAGUAGUACUCUAUAAAGGGAAUAGGGUUCCAUUUGGGAUGACAACCACUGACACUUUCCAGCUGUUUCUGCUUCCUCAUCUCGUGAUCCCUCAAUCGAAAUGGGUCUAAAUAGCACACACCUGUCUGGCUGCUUGUGUUUGGAACGAGCUGAUCCUAGAUCAUCGUGAACUCACUUGGUGCCACCUUGAAGAUGUAUGUGCCCUGACCUCCAAACAGGCCAUGGAGAGUCCCAAGUUACCAUUUCUAUGUCUUGUCUCACUGUGGAAAUACUAUCCUGUUUGUAAAACUUUUUUUUUUCUGACGUUGAACCUCUGUUUUCCUUUUUCUUUGUUACCACCUAAGAUGGGAAUAUUGGUGUAUAUGAAACAGCCGACAUAGAGAAAACAAGCUCUAUUUCUCGCCAUGUAGAGGCUUCUCUAACAUUUUUAAUUGAAGACAUUCAUCUGAUGAAAACAAGAAAAGCACUCCGAAGUCCUUCCACAGGAAAAUAACCGAGGAUGGACUUGGAGAAUGUGAAAACUGUUAAAGGGCAUAUUUAACCUAAGUGUACUGACCAUCCACACCGCAACCUCCCCCCUCUCUCCCCCAAUGGUUUGUCAAGAAGGUUGGAUCACAUGCAUCUCUCAACUCAUAGGCCCCCUAUAAAGGAUUAAGUCAAAUGCUUUUGAGUUUUCCACUGCAUCAAGUAAACAUGUUGUGGUCUAGAACAGUAAAUCAGAAAGUCAAAGUUGAGGAAUCUUUAUUUUAAAUUGGGGUUUGUAUGAAGAUUUUUUUUAGGAACUUGCAUUUUUAUCAUAUUUGGAACUCUUCUAAACUAAUAAUUGUGUCGAGGCAGUACUGUUUGUUGGGGGGGGAGAACAUUUUUGGAGUUGUCACUGGUGCUCUUAGUUAAUAUCUCUUAAAGAUCAACUUAAUAGUAGGGGGUGCCUUAGGUUUGAAGAGGGGUUGGGGUAAAUUUCAUUUUAGUUUUGGAAGUGAACUGAAAUUUUCAUUUUCAAUGGAGUUUUAGUUUACUUCCUGAAUUGAAAUGGGAAUAACCGAAACCCUGGUUUGAAGUGCCAACAGCUUUUUCGGAGGUGGACUGAGUUGAGAGAUGAGGUGACCGAAGCCUGUUUGUCAGUCCUAUUCACAGACCUGUUUGCAUUUCAAACCAUGCACUCCAGUUUCUAUUCUUACAUACAUCGUCCACCAUUUGUAUUUCAUAUUGUAUAAUAUGGCUGUCAAUAUACAAAGAGAUUUUAGAGGUUUUUAGAGCAUUAGUACUUUUAUUUUUGUCCAUUUUUAACCAGCAACUAAGCCUACCUGUACAUUCAAUAGAUAUUCUCUAUCUUUUGUCAAAGUGAACUCUACAUUUAGGUAAAAUUGCCCUUUAUAUUAAAAGUGCUGCAUAUUGUGUGCAUAUUGAUUUAAAACGGGGUGGAGAAUGUUGACUCUUCUUGAAGAUUUUCUUUUUUAAAGAACCAACCAGUUCUACACAUCUCUUAAUAACUUCAUCACAAUAUCUGUUUUUAUUUAUUCAUAUCGCUGAAAAUAUUACAUUUUUUAGUAAAUGUAAGAGGAAACAUAACUGGGGAAAAAUACUAUGUUUUUAACAGAUUGUGGCAACUCUUAAGAGAUCCUUUUUUGUACUUGAUAGGACAUUUCAUCCAAGAUAAUAAAGUCAUGUUUUUGACAUUGA